UGGCCAUGUAUUUGUAUCUCUACAUUGUC
rnacentral:piRNA from 1 species